CCUACGGGAGACAGCAGUGGGGAAUAUUGGGCAAUGGGCGCAAGCCUGACCCAGCAACGCCGCGUGAAGGAAGAAGGCUUUAGGGUUGUAAACUUCUUUUCUCAGGGACGAAGCAAGUGACGGUACCUGAGGAAUAAGCCACGGCUAAAUACGUGCCAGCAGCCGCGGGAAUACGUAGGUGGGAAGAGUUAUCCGGAUUUACUGGGUGUAAAGGGGUUGUAGGCGGGAAUGCAAGUCAGAGGUUAAAACCAUGGGCGCAACCUCUGUCCUGCAUUUGAAACUGUUUAUCUUGAGUACUGGGGAGGCAGACGGAAUUCCUAGUGUAGCGGUGAAAUGCGUAGAUAUUAGGCGGAACCCCAGUGGCGAAGGCGGUCUGCUGGACAGCAACUGACGCUGAGGCGCGAAAGCGUGGGGAGCAAACAGGAUUAGAUACCCCUGUAGUC
rnacentral:rRNA from 1 species